AACGAUGAUGAUUUUUUUGUAGAUUCAAACAUAAAAAUCCCGAAGAUCCAAAUGAAGUCCCUGGAGGAUUUUUAACAGACUGCAAUUCAGAUUCGUUAAAGGUUUUAAAAAGCCUUGCAGAUAGAUCUCUUUCAACUGCAAAAGUUAGUGAUAAAUUUCAAUUUGAGAGAAUUGGGUUCUUCUCGUUAGAUCCAGAUUCUACCAAACACAAUCUUGUCUUCAAUCAGACAGUAGGAUUAAAAGAAGAUGCAGGAAAAUGAUGUUAGUAUAAAUUUUUCUGUUCUUUGGUUUGUAUAAAAAUAUUUUAAAUUAUUUCUAAAACAGUAAAAUAUUUUAAAUUAUUUCUAAA
rnacentral:lncRNA from 1 species